rnacentral:rRNA from 1 species
UACGAAGGGGGCUAGCGUUGUUCGGAUUUACUGGGCGUAAAGCGCACGUAGGCGGAUCGUUAAGUGAGGGGUGAAAUCCCAGGGCUCAACCCUGGAACUGCCUUUCAUACUGGCGAUCUUGAGUCCGGAAGAGGUGAGUGGAACUGCGAGUGUAGAGGUGAAAUUCGUAGAUAUUCGCAAGAACACCAGUGGCGAAGGCGGCUCACUGGCCCGAUACUGACGCUGAGGCACGAAAGCGUGGGGAGCAAACAGG